AGGGGCACCGACGUGAACUACCCUGACAGGAAAUCAAACGUCAAUCUUUUCAGCUUCUUUGACGUAGAAUAAACGUCGAAUCCCCUGAAACACCGACGUCGUCGGUUUCUAGAGCAACCGACGCCCCAUUUCAUUUUAAAUAGACUAUAGACUCUUAUCGCCAUUCAGUUUCUGAUUAUGUCUUCAUCUCUUCUCCUUUUUCUCUGCUUUUCCUCUUCUUUUACUCGCUUGCGCACCUCUACUUUUUAUCUCUUGCGGCAUUGCAUUGUGGUUUCUCAUAACGUCAUUGUCUUUAUCCUCUUCUUUCUCUCUCUUGCAUCCGAGGAGCGUGGUUUUUUUUUUAUGCUUUACCGUUUAAACUUUCUUUAGUUUUUUAUCGAUUAUCUUGUCGUUCAACUAAUUAAAAUU
rnacentral:lncRNA from 1 species